CCUACGGGGGGCUGCAGUCGAGAAUCUUCGGCAAUGGGCGCAAGCCUGACCGAGCGACGCCGCGUGCGGGAUGAAGGCCCUUGGGUUGUAAACCGCUGUCAGAGGGGAUGAAAGCGAAAGCUUGACAGAGCCUCAGAGGAAGCACGGGCUAAGUUCGUGCCAGCAGCCGCGGUAAUACGAACUGUGCGAACGUUAUUCGGAAUCACUGGGCUUACAGGGUGCGUAGGCGGCUUUGCAAGUCAGGUGUGAAAUCCCCCGGCUCAACCGGGGAAUGG
rnacentral:rRNA from 1 species